rnacentral:lncRNA from 1 species
UAGUGAUUGCCAGGGGAAGGGAGGAGGAGGAAUGGGGACUGACUGCUUAGGGGUAAAAUAUACCUUUUUGAAGUGAUGAAAAUGUCCUGGAAUUGGAUAUUAGUAGUGGCUGCACCCCAUUGUGAAUAAAGAUAACUGAUUUGUACACUUUAAAAUGGUUAAAAUGGUAGAUUUUAUGUUAUGUGAAUUUUAUCUCAAUUUUUUAAAAAGCUUUCUAAGUAUCUGAAGACUACAAGAGGUGCAUAUUUUUUAUUCACAAAGAAUUAGUAAGUCUUUCAAUGACAGAAUUUCCAUCUUUGAGUAUUGUGUUUGAAGGUUAUUUUGUCUCACUGUUUUUCCCCCAGAUACUUCUAAAGCUGCUGUGCUCAUAACUAGGGAAGCAGAAGAGGAGAUCGUCCUCCUGCCCUGGCAACCAGGGAUGAUGGCACGUGCCUAGGCUCAAGCAUGGCAAUUCUCCCAUCCAGAACUUGGAAUCUUCGGGGUAUGUCACAAAGACCCAGGGUCAGUUUGCAAAUUAUUCCCAGAAGUUGUGGCAGCAUCAAGAGUCAGGCAGGGGCAGCAGCCCACGUUCAGCUGGAAUUCUGUGGCUUAACCCAGGGGUUUUCUAUGUGUCAUGAGAGAUAACACAACACUCUCACCAACGAAGUUGAAUAAAUUAUAUUUAGGACUCACAAGCUGAUCAUGAUUCUUGGCUAUGCAAACCUGAGGCUGAUGCAUCCUCCAGCAGCUGACCACGGACAUGUGCAGCAUCACAGUGACAGAUGGCAUUUCAACCACUUGGUUUACACCUUCCUCCACUGUCACCACCAUUCUGACAGAAAUGAGUUCCAUUUGCUCCAUUUUACAUAAGGGCAAAAGGCAGCAUUGACUCACCAAGUUUACACAGUUAGGGAAAAGAGCAACCAGGUCAGGAUCAGAUACAACAAAGAAGUGAUUGCAGAUGUUAAAUGGAACAUAGCUCUGGUCGUUUGAUAAAUAUUCAGUAAUUUCUUCAGUUUGUUAAGAAAAAUUAUCCAAAAUUUACAAUUACAGAGGAAGCAAAAUUUUACCUGUACCCUAUUUUUUUUUUUCUGGGGCUAAGAAUUAAAUUGACUUAAGACAGACAUAAGACAGAUCAACAGCAGAAGAACAAAUUUACUUAAUACAAGUUUUACAUGGCAGGAGAGACUACAUAAGGAAAUGCAGACCCAAAGGCACAGUUAGAUUGAACACUUACAUACAGAAUUAAAGAGUCAUGAAUUGUGAAAAUGUCACAAGGCCAAGAAGCUUGGGCUGAGUGGUUAAUUGAGUGAAAAAGUGGCUCGGAAGGUAUCUCCGCCCUAUGAAGGCCUUGAUGGGGAGCAACUCAGGCCUUGAAGGUAAAUGUCCUGUCCCACAGGUGCCAUGAGCUCCGGGAAGUAGAGACGUGAUCAGACUCCCCUGCUACAGCCUUGUACUUGUCACCGAAGGGAGAUGUGCAGGUGCAAGCCCGACCAAGGGACACCUCCGUGGCCAUGACAGCUUUUCUUCUUAAAAGAAAAAACCGGACCGUGGGUUCAGAAAUCCAAAUCCAUUUGUUUAUACUCGAUUCAUACCAAAGACUACAAAAUAUACUUGUUAAUCUAUAUUUAAUAUAGCUACUUAAUACAUUUAGUCAUCUCAUUUUUAAUAUUUUUUAUUAUUCAUUUUAAUC